CACACACUCUUCAAGUAAGUUGGAUUGACUUGGUGUAAUAAUUUAAUCAUCACAUCAAGGAAAGUAGUCAAAUACUUGCCAUCUUUUGAAAGGGGAGAGGGACUUCUAAAACCCCAUUAAAUAUUUUAAGACCUCAAAUCAGGUGGGACUACCC
rnacentral:rRNA from 1 species